CCACCACACACCUGCAGCCGCAGAGGCCAGAGUUUAGGAAACACAGGCUUGAGGGUGACACUGCCCACCUUGACUCCAGAAUUCCUCACGAGCCCCUCCUUGGGGUCAGCUCCUCCUAGACCAGGCCCAGCAGGCAGGGCUGCAGGAGGGGCUCACACUCCCAAGAGGCUCCGGGUCGUGUAGGGACAUCUUCCAACACAUAACCCAAACGCCGACGCCGACACCGAGGGCAGUUUCAGGGAGCAGAGGCGCUCACCACAGGACAACAGUCAAGAGGCAAGAGGCGGCAGCAAGGGGUACAGCCGGGGACCUGGGUGGCCGUUUGAAGGGGUCUUCCCCCUCCUCAGACCCACUGCCCGCUCCCGGCCCUCCUUUCCCGCGCAUACAUCUCCCAAACAUGGGCCCCUCCAGCCCCGACUUCUGGGUGAACCCCAGAUUCGGAGAGCACUAGGGCAGGUGUACCAUGGGGGGCUUUUUGGGAACCGGUUUUCCCCGGCUCCCGGCUCCCGUUGGAACUUCCAGAGCGCCGCGCCCCGGGACCCUGGAAGCCCGCCCGUCCCCGCCCCCCGCGGCCGCGACCUCAGCGCUCCCGGUGCGGUUCCCGGAAACUCCUCGAUUUCCCUGUGGCCUCCGCUUUUGCAAGAAACCGAAACCCAAGCCCCGCCCCUCCGGCGCGGCCUCGCGGGACCCGGCUGCUCUCAGCAGGGUGAGGGCACCCGCGCCCCCGGCCCCGGUGGACCCGGCAGACCAAGCCGCGUGCGCGCAGGGCCGGGGAGCUCGGACCCCAGCGGGCUGCAUCUCCUAGAGGCUCAGACCCCCCGCGCCUCCCACGCGAGAGUCCCAAACCUAACCCGCGUCUCUCGGGUUGCAGGGGGCGGUGGAGCGCAGCGGCAGUGACCUAACGGGGCCUCGCCUGCAGCUUGGGAGGCGGCUCGCGGUGUACUGGCCACAUGGGGUGCGGAGUGUGGGGGCCCAGGAGCGUUUACAAAGAGCUGCCCCCUGCCCACCCCGCGUUGCUAGUUUCGCGGCGGCGGCGUGUCUUGGGCGCAGAGGUGUCUGGCGACCUG
rnacentral:lncRNA from 1 species